GAGGAGAAGCCCGCGGCGCAGUCUAUGGCCUCCUAGGGGGAAGGGCCUUGAGGUCCCUGUCCUUCUCCUAACAGGCGGCGACGCAGCCAUGGCCUUGCUGUCGUGGGAGUCCCAGACAGGGUAGGAAGGAGGGCCAUAGAAAGGAGGAGGGCCGAGUGAACAUGGAGUUUUGAAGGGGGAAACCAUUUGUGGUAUUUGAGUCCCGGAGGCAUAUGAAACCGCCCACAGAAGACACAUUCCAAAGUCUUCAGUGGGAACCUGGGAGAGGGCAGAGGACUGCGCGGCGCUGGAUGGGGUAGAGCGAGGAGGGUCGAGGAGGGGCGCCACAGCCCACAGAGCAGGCACCGACCUCACUGCGCAUGUGCCCUGGGCGUCUUCCCGUCGGCCCCUUUGCCCACGUGGUGAACGCGGCGGAGCUGUGAGGGUGUGAGGGUCGCGCUCCUGCUGUCUGGACUUUUUCUGUCCUACUGAGACACGGCCGACAUGAGAUGAUGAACCUCAAGUACCACCCCAGACAACAAGGCUGCUUCAUCAGGACACAAACCUGCCUGUACCAGGACCUCUGACCUGUGUGCAGGAAACCAGCACUGAAUUCCAAGACAAAACAACCCUUCUUAAAGACAUACAAGAAACCUUGCCUGAUAUACAAAUAUAAUAACCUUAAAAAAAAUUCACAGACCUGAG
rnacentral:lncRNA from 1 species